rnacentral:tRNA from 4 species
GGGUCGAUGCCCGAGUGGUUAAAGGGGACGGACUGUAAAUUCGUUGGCAAUAUGUCUACGCUGGUUCAAAUCCAGCUCGGCCCA